GCCCAGGUGCACGUAGCGGGAAAUCAGAAAUUUCUUCUUCUUACCAGCGAGCCCGAAUUGAACACCGGCGGCAAUAUUCCAGCUUCCCGCAGAUUUCUGUAAUUUCUCAAAACCGACACGAAAAAUCCCUCUUCUCCUACUUCUAUCUGUUCUAUCUCUGAAAAAACGCAGAGAAAUCUAUCAACCCAACUUCCUGCAGACGACUGCAGCAGCUCAUGAGUAUUUAGUUUCCAGAGAUACAAGACAAUGAUUUCUUGCUACAAUCCUCUGAAUGUGAACUCUCAGCUUCUGCUGACAAAUUCUUCUCAGCAGUUCAAGAGCCCCAAGCAUCCUUAUCUGCAUCAGAGUAAGUUGCAUAAGAGAAGCUCUGAUAUAACCCCAAGAGGAAUGAAAGUCACUGCUUAUUAUGGCUUGAAGACACCUCCUUAUGAACUUGAUGCUUUAGAACCAUAUUUGAGUCGGAGGACAUUGGAGGUUCACUGGGGUAAACAUCACCGUAAUUACGUUGAAGGUUUGAACAAACAACUGAGCCAGAACGAUACACUAUAUGGCUACACUUUGGAUGAACUUCUCAAAGUAACAUACAACAAUGGGAAUCCUUUACCUGAAUUUAACAAUGCUGCCCAGGUCUGGAAUCACGACUUUUUCUGGGAAUCCAUGCAACCUGGAGGAGGAAACAUGCCCAUACUUGGUGUUCUACAACAAAUUGAAAAAGAUUUCGGUUCUUUCUCAAAUUUCAAGGACAAGUUUAUAGAAUCAUCUCUUUCACUCUUUGGUUCUGGCUGGGUUUGGCUUGUUUUGAAGAGACAAGAAAAACAACUCGCCGUGAUCAAAACGUCGAAUGCCAUAAGCCCACUUGUUUGGGAUGACAUUCCAAUUAUCUGCUUGGAUAUGUGGGAGCAUGCUUAUUAUCUUGAUUACAAGAAUGAUAAAAAAGAGUACGUCGAUGUGUUUAUGGACCAUCUUGUAUCGUGGAAUGCAGCGACAGGGCGUAUGGCUCGGGCCGAGUGUUUCGUGAACUUAGGAGAGCCGAAAAUUCCUGUAGCGUAAUGAUAUUCAUACCAUUGAUGCCAAAGAGUUGUUAGCAAUUGAUCCAAGCAACCAAAGCCUCAGUGGUGUAGGUGAUUGAUAAUGAUGAAAGAAAAUGACAGUAAUGAGAGUUGUGAAAAUUGGAGACCUCCAUCAGCGACGAUGAAGACGACAUUGGCGUCAUAUAUCUGUGAUUGAAGGUUUGUUUUUUCUAUACAGAGAAUCUUUACCUCCCCAUUUUGCCCCCAACUUUUUAAGAUAUACCAAGUUUACCCUUCAUCUAUAUUAUAUAUUAUUCCGAUGCUAUUAUUUGAAUGUGUUUAGAUAAGUAAUACAUUGAAAAGGUAGGACUAUUAUUCCUUUACAAACCAUUUAUAGAAGGGGUGCGUCCGUUGAUGAA